rnacentral:rRNA from 1 species
UACGUAGGGUGCAAGCGUUAAUCGGAAUUACUGGGCGUAAAGCGUGCGCAGGCGGUUAUGUAAGACAGUUGUGAAAUCCCCGGGCUCAACCUGGGAACUGCAUCUGUGACUGCAUAGCUAGAGUACGGUAGAGGGGGAUGGAAUUCCGCGUGUAGCAGUGAAAUGCGUAGAGAUCCGGAGGAAUACCGGUGGCGAAGGCGGCAGUCCUGGACCGACAUUGACGCUGAAAACCGAAAGCUAAGGGGAGCGAAACAGGGAGUUAGAAU